GGUAUUAGUUAAAUUAUAACCUUUAAAUUGCAAUUAAAAAUUAAAAAAUAUUUUUUAUACCU
rnacentral:tRNA from 1 species